rnacentral:tRNA from 1 species
ACCUUCGUGGUGUAGUGGUCAGCACGCUCGGCGCGUAUUCGAGAGGUCCGUGGUUCGAGUCCCGGCAAGGGCA